CUGACUGAAGUCAUGGCCUCAGCUCUGAAGUCCAACCCCUCCCAUCUGAGAGAGCUGGACCUGGGUGACAACGACCUGCUGGAUUCAGACGUGGAGUAUCUGUGUGCUGGACUGCAGAGUCCAAACUGUAGACUGGAGACUGAGAUUGGACUCCUGCAGUUUGUCAGAGAUUGGCUGUGCUUCUCUGGCCUCAGCUCUGACUUUCAACCCCUCCCAUCUGAGAGAGCUGGACCUGUCGGAAGACAACCUGAAAGAUUCAGAUGAGAAGCAUCUGUGUGAUCUUGUGAAGAGUCAAAACUAUCGACUGGAGACUCUGGAAUGGAAGUCGUCUUAGUGAUCAGAAAGGAGGAUGUGUUGAGACAGUAUGUGGAGUCCAUCAUCCCUGUGUGUUCCUCUGGAUCUGACAGAGUAUCAUCAGUGUAUCUGGACUGCUCUGCUGCUGCUCUGUCCUUCUACACAGUCUCUACAGACACACUGAGACUCCUCCUCUCCUUCUGCUCCACACUUAA